UACGUAGGUGGCGAGCGUUGUCCGGAUUUAUUGGGCGUAAAGGGAGCGUAGGCGGACUUUUAAGUGAGAUGUGAAAUACCCGGGCUCAACUUGGGUGCUGCAUUUCAAACUGGAAGUCUAGAGUGCAGGAGAGGAGAAUGGAAUUCCUAGUGUAGCGGUGAAAUGCGUAGAGAUUAGGAAGAACACCAGUGGCGAAGGCGAUUCUCUGGACUGUAACUGACGCUGAGGCUCGAAAGCGUGGGGAGCAAACAGGAUUAGAUACCCGGGUAGU
rnacentral:rRNA from 1 species